AUGGAUGAACUUCAUAUGGAUAACACAUUAGUUUGUGCACAACCAUAUUGCAUUUUCUUGCAUAAUCUGAAAACAUCAAAAUUAACUAGAGAAGUGAAUAUAUCUUCUCUAACACGGUCCACAUGUUCCUCUGUCAGUUUGGAUCAUAACAAGUCGAACUAUCAGAAGCACAUAGUCUUCCGGCCCAUGGGACAACCCACAUCGUUUUGGCACCUUACCCGUGGUGUCCACAACGACAAUUUUUGCGGGCUUGGAUGUGGGCACCAUGGGCAUCCACUUGCAGCCUUAGUUGCUAGUGCUUAG
rnacentral:rRNA from 1 species